UGUUGGCUUAGAAGCAGCCAUCAUUUAAAGAAAGCGUAAUAGCUCACUGGUCGAGUCGGCCUGCGCGGAAGAUGUAACGGGGCUAAACCAUGCACCGAAGCUGCGGCAGCGACACUGUGUGUUGUUGGGUAGGGGAGCGUUCUGUAAGCCUGUGAAGGUGUACUGUGAGGUAUGCUGGAGGUAUCAGAAGUGCGAAUGCUGACAUAAGUAACGAUAAAGCGGGUGAAAAGCCCGCUCGCCGGAAGACCAAGGGUUCCUGUCCAACGUUAAUCGGGGCAGGGUGAGUCGACCCCUAAGG
rnacentral:rRNA from 1 species